rnacentral:rRNA from 1 species
AGUGAACGCUGGCGGUAGGCCUAACACAUGCAAGUCGAACGGCAGCACAGUAAGAGCUUGCUCUUACGGGUGGCGAGUGGCGGACGGGUGAGGAAUACAUCGGAAUCUACUUUUUCGUGGGGGAUAACGUAGGGAAACUUACGCUAAUACCGCAUACGACCUACGGGUGAAAGCAGGGGAUCUUCGGACCUUGCGCGAUUGAAUGAGCCGAUGUCGGAUUAGCUAGUUGGCGGGGUAAAGGCCCACCAAGGCGACGAUCCGUAGCUGGUCUGAGAGGAUGAUCAGCCACACUGGAGCUGGGCCACGGUCCAGACUCCUACGGGAGGCAGCAGUGGGGAACAUUGGACAAUGGGCGCAAGCCUGAUCCAGCCAUACCGCGUGGGUGAAGAAGGCCUUCGGGUUGUAAAGCCCUUUUGUUGGGAAAGAAAAGCAGCAGGUUAAUACCCCGCUGUUCUGACGGUACCCAAAGAAUAAGCACCGGCUAACUUCGUG